UAUAGAAUACUACUCUAAAAUAAAUGCUGUUAUGAGAGAGAAGUUAGGAAUUUAAAAUAUAGCAGUAUAGUUAAUAUACUGUUUAUGCAUCUCCCGACUAAGGUUCAACUACCAAAGAAAACUUGGUGGGCUGUUUGUGAGUUGACAAAAUUUCAAAAAAUAUAAAUAGUAAAUGGUUUUUUGAAUGUUAAAAAUUACUGCAAAAUUGUUUGAGUAAUGAGUAUAGUGGUGAAGAGUGGGCUUUUAGACAUGUAAAUUUAUAUGGGCAAUCUUACCCCAAUCUGUGUAGAUCAAUAGAUCAUUGAAAAUAAUUCUGAGGGUUAUCCUGUUAAAUUUGUAUUAAUACAAUUAAAUUGAAGUAGUA